UUGACUGUCAGUGUCUUUGUCAACGAGUCGUGGCCGAGGAGUGACUGUUCAAGUGCCAAUUACAAUUCCGAAAAACUCCUCUCAUCCACCUCAAAAAAAUGGGUUCCAAAAUUCAAGAGUACAAGGACACAUUGGAGCGCACGCUCAAUGACAAAAGCAAGCCAUGGGUUAAGUAUUUGGACUUGGCCGAACAGAAAUCCGGCGUGAACAGAGUUUACCUUUUCGUUGGUCUUGUGGCGUUCACCGGUUUAUAUUUAGUAUUUGGUUUCGGCGCGGAGUUGAUAUGCAACUCAAUUGGAUUUCUUUAUCCUGCGUACAUGUCGAUGAGGGCAUUGGAAUCGCCACAAAAGGAUGACGACACCAAAUGGCUGACUUAUUGGGUGGUGUUCUCGUGCUUCAACCUUGUGGAGUACUUCGCCGACUUCAUCGUCGGCUGGUUCCCUCUGUACUGGCUCAUGAAGUGCAUCUUCGUCAUAUGGUGUUUCCUGCCGACUGAUUUCAACGGUUCCCUCAUCAUUUACCACCGCAUCAUCCGUCCCUACUACUUGAAACACCACGACCGCAUCGACCAAAUCGCUUCCUCUGAGCUGAAAGACAUUAUAAAUAUGGCCAACAAGAAUAUAGAUAAGACAAUGAAGUCUUUCGCCGAUACUAUGAAGGAGUUGCACAAAGAUUAAGUACAGUAAAGGUAAAGCUGAUUAGUGCAAAAACGUACAAACUCGUUGUGCCCACCGCUUGGUAGCAGAUGCGGUUAGGAAGAACAA
rnacentral:misc_RNA from 1 species